UGCGUCCGUAGCUCAGCUGGAUAGAGUAGCGGACUACGAAUCCGUUGGUCGGGGGUUCGAAUCCCUCCGGACGCGA
rnacentral:tRNA from 1 species